GUCGAACGCUGGCGGCGUGCCUAAUACAUGCAAGUCGAACGCAGUGGGGACGGGUGAGUAACACGUGGGUAACCUCCCAUCAGAGGGGAUAACACUUGGAAACAGGUGCUAAACCGAUACUGAUGGAUGGACCCGCGGUGCAUUAGCUAGUUGGUGAGGUAACGGCUCACCAAGGCCACGAUGCAUACCCGGCCGGAGAGGGUGAUCGGCCAAACUGGGACUGAGACACGGCCCAGACUCCUACGGGAGGAAGCAGUAGGGAAUCUUCAGCAAUGGACGAAAGUCUGACGGAGCAACGCGGCGUGAGUGAAGAAGGUUUUCGGAUCGUAAAACUCUGUUGUGAGAGAAGCGGUAUCUGACCAGAAAGCAACGGCUAACUACGUGCCAGCAGCCGCGGUAAUUC
rnacentral:rRNA from 1 species